GGGAAGGUGGCUCAGUGGUAGAACGCUUGCCUUGAAUGCAUGAGGACCUGGGUU
rnacentral:tRNA from 1 species